AGUGAACGCUGGCGGUAGGCCUAACACAUGCAAGUCGAACGGCAGCACAGGAGAGCUUGCUCUCUGGGUGGCGAGUGGCGGACGGGUGAGGAAUACAUCGGAAUCUACCUUUUCGUGGGGGAUAACGUAGGGAAACUUACGCUAAUACCGCAUACGACCUACGGGUGAAAGUGGGGGACCGCAAGGCCCCACGCGACUAGAUGAGCCGAUGUCCGAUUAGCUAGUUGGCGGGGUAAUGGCCCACCAAGGCGACGAUCGGUAGCUGGUCUGAGAGGAUGAUCAGCCACACUGGAAAUGAGACACGGUCCAGACUCCUACGGGAGGCAGCAGUGGGGAAUAUUGGACAAUGGGCGCAAGCCUGAUCCAGCCAUACCGCGUGGGUGAAGAAGGCCUUCGGGUUGUAAAGCCCUUUUGUUGGGAAAGAAAUCCUGUCGAUUAAUACUCGGUGGGGAUGACGGUACCCAAAGAAUAAGCACCGGCUAACUUCGUGCCAGCAGCCGCCGUAACAC
rnacentral:rRNA from 1 species